rnacentral:rRNA from 2 species
UACGGAGGGUGCAAGCAUUGAUCGGAAUUAUUGGGCGUAAAGGGCGCGUAGGCGGUUAAAUAAGUCAGAUGUGAAAUGCCGGGGCUCAACCCCGGAGCUGCAUUUGAAACUAUUAGACUAGAGUAUAGUUAGGGAAAAUGGAAUUCCACGUGUAGCGGUGAAAUGCGUAGAUAUGUGGAAGAACACCGGUGGUGAAGACGAUUUUCUGGGCUAUAACUGACGCUGAGGCGCGAAAGCUAGGGGAGCAAACAGG